CGCCCUCGCCCAGAGUCUUCCCGGGAUUGGCUGCGGGCCCCGCGACCCUCCUGCUUCCCUCCCCUCCCCGCCCCGCCCCGCCCCGCCUCUCUGGUUUGUGCGCCCGGCGCAGGUCGCAGGCCUCUUUGUCAGCUGGAGUUGCGUGGGCUGACGCGCCACUACUUUGUAGCAGGUUUCGGGCGGGCCACGCGUGCGGCGACUGGAACCCAACCCUAGCCGACCUUGAGCUCCAGUAGUUCGUCUCUUACGUCUGCGGAAGUGCAGCUGCCUCAGUUCCUAGCGCAGGCUGACAACUACAGGUACAAGCCAUUGAAGCUGGAAUGUCCUGUUGCUGGUAUUUCAAUUGACUUAAGCCAACUAUCCCUUUAGUUACAAUAGGAAAGUGCCUCUAAUAAGGCCAAAUAUGCGUACUAACUUAAAGCAACCACGUGUCCGUGCAUUGCCACAUGAGCUAGAGCAGUGACAAAACUGGUGGCAACAGGGCAGUGUAGCAGGUGCUUCAUGUUCCCCUUUUCAACCUUUUCAUUCAAUUGUCACAACUCAGAGGUGGAUUCUGUUAGGGACAAGCUGCCCCAGGACCACGCCGCCCCCGCCAACUCAAUGCAGCUGACCCUUACCCUGAAUACUCUGCAGCUGCAUUCCUGAACCGUUAUCUAGGCGCCAUAGCAAGGUCACCAGACUUGCUACACCGAAGCCCUCCAGGUGGCAUGGGGGAGGUCAUGAGAAAUGUGGAUAAACCUAAGUUACACCCCCUUGUAAGUUCCUGUUUUCACAAGAUAAUAUAUUGUAAGCCAGUCAUGAGAUUAUAUGUGGUAAAGUUAAUUGACUAACAACCCCAGGGUCUCUCUCCCCCAUAUAAACCCCUCAUUUUGUAAGCUCAGGGCUGCCACCUCUGACUGGUGGAGAAGCCCAGCAGGUUAAUAAACUUACUUGGCUUAACCUUGGGUCUCUCGUCUUUUCUCUCGGCUAACCUUACAGAUUCUAUUCUCCCAUUUCACAGGUAAAGAAAUGGAUUAGGGAUAACUCAAGUUUCAUCACAUAUAUUAAUAUAAUUAGAUUAAGGAUCUCAGGAUGGGGAGAUUACCUUGGAUAAUCCUAGUGGGCCCUAAAUGCGAUCACAAGUUCCCUCAUGAGAGGGAGCCUGAGGGAGAUCCACACACAGCAGAUUGGAAGAUGCUGGCCUUGAAGAUCGGAGUGAGGCAGCCCCCAGGAGCUGGGAGAUGCCAAGGAACACAUUCCCCGUCAGAGCCUCCUGAGGAGCAUCAUUUGAUUUGGCUCAGUGAAACUGAUUUCUGACUUCUGGCCUUCAGAACUGAGAAUAAAUUGCUGUUUUAAGCCACCAAGUUGUAAUUUGUUACAGCAGCCUCUAAGAUCACAAAUAUAGCUGGGGCAAGAACCCCACCACCUCA